rnacentral:lncRNA from 1 species
UAAGUUUUAGCAAAAGUGAUGGUUAGAGGGAAUUGUCCUGACUUUUUUGAGGCGCUGCAUGUUUUGGGGAAAUGACUAGGUAGCACUUAAUCCGUAAACCGAUUAUAUUAUGGGGUCAAAGCUUUGUCAGGGAAGGGAUGGAGUUUCUCUAAGAUUUUUUAUUGAUAGGAAUUUUGAACAAUUGAAAAGCUUAUACAUUUUUUGUUAUGCAUGGGUUGUUUCAUCAUGGGACUAAAUUGCGUAAAAUAUAUUUCAAGAGAUUAUGUGUACCAUACUUCACAUAACUUGUUUUAUGCGCUCAAAUCUCCUUGAAAGAUUAUUUUGUUUUUGUAUAGCUCAACAAGAUAAAAUUUGAUGUAAAAACAAUACUACAUGAAUCAAGUCGAUGUGUCGUUAUCGACAUGUUGCCUACAUCAACCUUGCUCAGGUUCGCCAAAUGCAAAAGUUAAAUGUACACUUGACUGCAUCAUCUCUCAAGACAGGUCA